GCCGGGAGCAGUGGCGGGCGCCUGUAAUCCCAGCUACUUGGGAGGCUGAGGCAGGAGAAUCGCUUGAACCCGGGAGGUGGAGGUAGCAGUGAGCUGAGGUCAAGCCACUGCACUCCAGCCUGGGUAACACAGAGUGAGACCCUGUCUUAA
rnacentral:sRNA from 1 species